GACGAACGCUGGCGGCGUGCCUAAUACAUGCAAGUAGAACGCUGAAGGAGGAGCUUGCUUCUCUGGAUGAGUUGCGAACGGGUGAGUAACGCGUAGGUAACCUGCCUGGUAGUGGGGGAUAACUAUUGGAAACGAUAGCUAAUACCGCAUAAUAGCAGUUGUUGCAUGAUAACUGUUUGAAAGGUGCAAUUGCACCGCUACCAGAUGGACCUGCGUUGUAUUAGCUAGUUGGUGGGGUAACGGCUCACCAAGGCGACGAUACAUAGCCGACCUGAGAGGGGGAUCGGCCAAACUGGGACUGAGACACGGCCCAGACUCCUACGGGAGGCAGCAGUAGGGAAUCUUCGGCAAUGGACGGAAGGCUGACCGAGCAACGCCGCGGGAGUGAAGAAGGGUUUCGAAUCGUAAAGCUCUGUUGUAAGAGAAGAACGAGUGUGAGAGUGGAAAGUUCACACUGUGACGGUAUCUUACCAGAAAGGGACGGCUAACUACGUG
rnacentral:rRNA from 1 species